AGAGCGUGGGUGGCUGGGGGUGCAGGGGGCCAAGGCUUUGAGGUCAAGGAGUUCAAGGGUGAGGCAUAAAUGUCGCUUCCCUGAGUGACCCAGCUCUUCACCGGGAGAGGUGGGGUUUUGUUCGAGGGGAUAAAGAACAUUGGGCGAGUCUUGUUCAAGCUCUCCGAGGCCGACUUUAUUGAGGAGAGGCUGCCCAGAUCGCUGGGAUGGGAUUCUGCAGUGAGGGAGAAAGAUAAGGCUCAAGUCCAAACACAGCACGGGAAGUUUCCUUCAUCACGACCAGCUUAUUGCCUUGACAACAAAAUUCGGUCAAAGUAAAACAGAGAACCAGCACGAGGUUACCAGAGUCACACGUUCCUGGCUGGAAAGAAGUCGCAGCAAACUGCAGAAUGCUUGGGUCUGGGUCCUUCCUCGCAGCCCCAAGGCAAGGCUGUGGGGCGCGACCUUCUGCCACGCUUGGUGGCCUGGUGAUCACUCGUAACUCAUGUUGAAUUGCAUUGGUUUUGAAGGCAAGACUUUAAGGAAGGGCUCCUUCUGCUUUUCUUUUCUUCUGCAUUAAAAAACAUUUUUUUUUUAAGUUUA